CCUACGGGUGGCUGCAGUGGGGAAUAUUGCACAAUGGGGGAAACCCUGAUGCAGCGACGCCGCGUGAGUGAAGAAGUAUCUCGGUACGUAAAGCUCUAUCAGCAGGGAAGAAAAUGACGGUACCUGACUAAGAAGCCCCGGCUAAAUACGUGCCAGCAGCCGCGGUAAUACGGAGGGGGCAAGCGUUAUCCGGAUUUACUGGGUGUAAAGGGAGCGUAGAGUGGAGCACAAGUCUGGAGUGAAAGCCCGGGGCUUAACCCUGGAACUGCUUUGGAAACUGUGCGGCUGGAGUGCAGGAGGGGCAGGCGGAAUUCGUAGUGUAGCGGUGAAAUGCUUAGAUAUUAGGAAGAACACCAGUGGCGAAGGCAGCCUAC
rnacentral:rRNA from 1 species